GUUAAAUACCGAGAACAUUAUACCGACAACAUGUCCUCGGUAUAGACAUUUCAUAUGCGCGGGACAUUUUCGCGGUUUUGAAUAGGUUUAGUUGCUAUACCGAGGACCUAUACCGAGAACAUGUUCUCGGUAUAGGGUUUAUAAAUAUCACACUCAGCCGCGAAGCCCCUUCUCCUUCCUCUCUGGUUUCUCUGGGUUUUCUCCGAAACCUCCGCCUCCCUCCGCCGAUUAUAGCCGUUUUCCUCCAUAAAAGCUCGGUUUUAAGCCCCAAAAUUGCCAAGGGUGAAGGAAUUUCUGUGUAUUUGUUGAAGGUUGGGUAUUCGGUUUUUGUUGGACUAUAGGGAUUGCUAGCAAGAUAUUGAAGGCAUUGAUAUGGCUGAUGUUAUUGCUCAAUCUCACGGGGGUGAUGGUGGAGGAUGCGAUCCUCCACGUGGACCGUCAGAUAUCCCAGCUGAUUGUGAAC